rnacentral:rRNA from 1 species
AGAACGAACGCUGGCGGCGUGGAUAAGACGUGCAAGUCGAACGCGACUUAUCUGAUUAGCAAUAAUUAGGUAAGUUGAGUGGCGAAAGGGUGCGUAACACGUGGGAAUUUACCAAGAAGUGGGGAAUAGCUCGACGAAAGUCGAAUUAAUACCGCAUAUGAUCGCAAGAUCAAAGCCGGGGACCGCAAGGCCUGGCGCUUUUUGAGAAGCCCGCGGCCCAUCAGCUAGUUGGCGGGGUAAAAGCCCACCAAGGCUAUGACGGGUAGCUGGUCUGAGAGGACGACCAGCCACACUGGAACUGAGACACGGUCCAGACACCUACGGGUGGCAGCAGUCGAGAAUUUUUCACAAUGGACGAAAGUCUGAUGGAGCGACGCCGCGUGGAGGAUGAAGGUUUUCGGAUUGUAAACUCCUGUCACUGCAGAACAAGGAUGUGUGUAUGAAUAGUACAUGCUAUUUGAUGGUAUGCGGAGAGGAAGGGACGGCUAACGUCUGUA